UCAAGCAAGAGAAGAGCAUAGGGCGGAUGCCUAGGCACCAACAGCCGAAGAAGGACGUGGUAAGCUGCGAAAAGCUGCGGGGAGCUGCAAGCGAGCGAAGAACCGCAGAUAUCCGAAUGGGGAAACCCGGCAGUGGUAAAGCGCUGUCACCAUAUGAUGAAUAGAUAGUCAUAUGGAGGGAACCCGGUGAACUGAAACAUCUAAGUAGCCGGAGGAAAAGAAAGAAACAUCGAUUUUCUAAGUAGCGGCGAGCGAAAGGGAAAGAGCCCAAACCAAAGGUCUACGGACCUAUGGGGUAAGGACCUGCAAAAAGCGAAGUACAUAUAGCAGAAUAGCGUUGGAAAGCGCAGCCAGAGAGGGUAACAGCCCCGAUAAGCGAAAUGUGUACGAGUGGGCGGGGAUCCGGAGUACCACAGGACACGAGGAAUCCGGUGGGAAGGCGGGGGGACCACCCCCCAAGGCUAAAUACUGAAGGUGACCGAUAGCGAACAAGUACCGUGAGGGAAAGGUGAAAAGCACCCCGGGAGGGGAGUGAAAGAGAACCUGAAACCCUAUGUUUACAAGCAGAGGGAGCGAAAGCGACCUCGUACUUUUUGUAGAACGGGCCGGCGAGUUACUGUGUGCAGCGAGGUUAAGAUGUAGAGCAUCGGAGCCGAAGCGAAAGCGAGUCUGAAGAGGGCGAAGAGUUGCAUGCAGUAGACCCGAAACCGGGUGACCUAUCCAUGGACAGGAUGAAGCGGUGGUAAAACAGCGUGGAGGUCCGAACCACACGCACGUUGAAAAGUGCGGGGAUGAGCUGUGGAUAGCGGAGAAAUUCCAAUCGAACUCGGAGAUAGCUGGUUCUCCCCGAAAUAGCUUUAGGGCUAGCCUCGAGGGAAGAUUACCGGGGGUAGAGCACUGAAUGGGCUAGGGGGCCACAAAGCUUACCGAACCCUAUCAAACUUCGAAUACCGGAUAAUAGAUACUCGGGAGUCAGACAGUGUGAGAUAAGUUUCAUUGUCGAGAGGGAAACAGCCCAGACCAACGAUUAAGGUCCCAAAAUUCAAGUUAAGUGGAAAAGGAUGUGCAGAUGCGCAGACAACCAGGAUGUUGGCUUAGAAGCAGCCACACAUUUAAAGAGUGCGUAAUAGCUCACUGGUCGAGUGAAUGUGCGCCGAAUAUGUACCGGGGCUAAACUUGAUACCGAAAUCUUGGCAGUUACGAAAGUAACUGGGUAGGGGAGCAACGAAUACGGGCAGAAGCAAGACCGGGAGGUCGUGUGGACUGUAUUGGAGAGAGAAUGCCGGCAUGAGUAGCGAAAGCUAAGUGAGAAUCUUAGCCGUCGAAAGCCUAAGGAUUCCUGAGGAAGGUUCGUCCACUCAGGGUAAGUCGGGACCUAAGCCGAGGACAGAAGUCGUAGGCGAUGGACAACAGGUUGAUAUUCCUGUACCGCCGAUAGCGAUUGAGCGAAGCAGUGACACGGAAGGAUAGACAAAGCGGGGAGAUGGAAACCCCCGUCCAAGCGAUAAGGGAGGCGAGUAGUGAAGUACGCUCGCUGAAAAUUCUGAGUCGUUAGGGGGACCGAAAAGCAAGUAGGGAAGUUGUUGAAUCCACGCCGGCGAGAAAAGCUGCUAGCGAGCGAAAAGGCGCCCGUACCGCAAACCGACACAGGUAGGCGAGGAGAGAAUCCUAAGACGAGCGGGAGAACCCUUGUUAAGGAACUCGGCAAAAUGACCCCGUAACUUCGGGAGAAGGGGUGCCUCGAGAGAGGCCGCAGAGAAUAGGCCCAAGCGACUGUUUACCAAAAACACAGGUCUGUGCGAAGUAGAGAUACGACGUAUACGGGCUGACGCCUGCCCAGUGCCGGAAGGUUAAGGGGAAGUGUUAGGUUUAGGCCGAAGCACGGAACUUAAGCCCCGGUGAACGGCGGCCGUAACUAUAACGGUCCUAAGGUAGCGAAAUUCCUUGUCGGGUAAG
rnacentral:rRNA from 1 species